rnacentral:rRNA from 1 species
UGGGGAAUAUUGGACAAUGGGGGCAACCCUGAUCCAGCCAUGCCGCGUGUGUGAAGAAGGCCUUUUGGUUGUAAAGCACUUUAAGCAGUGAAGAAGACUCCAUGGUUAAUACCCAUGGACGAUGACAUUAGCUGCAGAAUAAGCACCAGCUAACUCUGUGUCAGCAGCCGCGGUAAUACAGAGGGGGCAAGCGUUAAUCGGAAUUACUGGGCGUAAAGCGAGCGUAGGUGGCUUGAUAAGUCAGAUGUGAAAGCCCCGGGCUUAACCUGGGAACGGCAUCUGAUACUGUUAGGCUAGAGUAGGUGAGAGGAAGGUAGAAUUCCAGGUGUAGCGGUGAAAUGCGUAGAGAUCUGGAGGAAUACCGAUGGCGAAGGCAGCCUUCUGGCAUCAUACUGACACUGAGGUUCGAAAGCGUGGGUAGCAAACA